rnacentral:rRNA from 1 species
CGCGUAGGCGGCUUUCUAAGUCGGGGGUGAAAACCUGUGGCUCAACCACAGGCCUGCCUCCGAAACUGGAUAGCUUGAGGCCGUGAGAGGAAAGCGGAAUUCCUGGUGUAUCGGUGAAAUGAGUUGAUAUCAGGAGGAACACCGGUGGCGAAGGCGGCUUUCUGGUGCGGUUCUGACGCUGAGGUGCGAAAGCAUGGGGAGCAAACG